rnacentral:rRNA from 1 species
ACUGAGGGGGCUGCUCCUAGUACGAGAGGACCGGAGUGGACGCAUCACUGGUGUUCGGGUUGUCAUGCCAAUGGCACUGCCCGGUAGCUAAAUGCGGAAGAGAUAAGUGCUGAAAGCAUCUAAGCACGAAACUUGCCCCGAGAUGAGUUCUCCCUGAGACUUAGAGUCUCCUGAAGGAACGUUGAAGACGACGACGUUGAUAGGCCGGGUGUGUAAGCGCAGCGAUGCGUUGAGCUAACCGGUACUAAUGAACCGUGAGGCUUAACCUUACAACGCCGAAG